CCAAAGACAUAGCCCUACGACACUCUUGUAAGGUGAAGCCUGCCCAAUGACUGCCAAUAAUCUAAUAAAAAUCAGUUCAAUGGCCGCGGUAACUCUGACCGUGAUAAAGUAGCAUAAUCACUUGUCACUUAAUUGGUGACUGGAAUGAAUGGCUAAACGAAUCCUCUUCUGUCUCUGAAGAAAUCCUGGCAAAUUUGAAAUAGCAGUGAAGAUGCUGCUAAAUAAUUGUAAGACGAAAAGACCCUAUCGAGCUUUACUGGAAUCUUGCAAAGUAACAUAGUUAUUAAAGACAAAAUUAUACAAAUUGCAAGCCCGACAGUUUGGUUGGGGCGACCACCCCUAAAAACGUAUCAGGGGAACUCUAAGGGCUGUCAUAAUAUGAAAAACCGCCUUACUGGAGACAAACAAGUCAAUCAGUUAUAAUUUAUAGGACAUAUUGACCCGUUAUUUAGCUUCACAACAAAUAACGACUAUGAAAAAAGUUACCGUAGGGAUAACAGGGUAAUAUUUUCAGAGAGUUCAUAUCGAUGAAAAUGUUUGCCACCUCGAUGUUGAAUUAUGAUAUCCUGAGGGUGCAGCAGCUCUCAAGGGUUGGUCUGUUCGACCAUUAAAAUCAUACACGAUUUGAGUUCAUUCCGUCGUAAGACAGGAAGGUUUCUAUCU
rnacentral:rRNA from 1 species